GUGCCAGCCGCUGCGGUAAUACGGAGGGUGCAAGCGUUAAUCGGAAUUACUGGGCGUAAAGCGCACGCAGGCGGUCUGACAAGUCGGAUGUGAAAUCCCCGGGCUCAACCCGGGAACUGCAUUCGAAACUGUCAGGCUGGAGUCUUGUAGAGGGGGGGUAGAAUUCCAGGUGUAGCGGUGAAAUGCGUAGAGAUCUGGAGGAAUACCGGUGGCGAAGGCGGCCCCCUGGACAAAGACUGACGCUCAGGUGCGAAAGCGUGGGGAGCAAACAGGAUUAGAUACCCUGGUAGUCCACGCUGUAAACGAUGUCGACUUGGAGGUUGUGCCCUUGAGGCGUGGCUUCCGGAGCUAACGCGUUAAGUCGACCGCCUGGGGAGUACGGCCGCAAGGGUUAAAACUCAAAUGAAUUGACGGGGCCCGCACAAGCGGUGGAGCAUGUGGUUUAAUUCGAUGCAACGCGAAGAACCUUACCUAGGUCUUGACAUCCACAGAAGUUUUC
rnacentral:rRNA from 1 species